GAAAAGGCUGUCAUUAUUGUGGCUAAAAUAAACACUUAUUGGUACCAGAUUAGUAAGAUUAGGGCACUUGAAGUACCAGAAAGAUCCAUAGUCAGAGAAUAUCUAUUUGUGGUACCAGGUGGCCCAGCAACCAGAUAUUUAUCUGCAGGAUCAAAGGAUGUGAUAUUUGAUAUUUAAUCAAAUUCAUGUUAGUGUCAACAGCCUGGAACAGAGGUAUUGAUAUAUUUAGUGAGGUGGAAGUUACAUGGGUAUGCUAUAGCAAGACAAGAGAGGAUUGACCUUCUCCCCUUCAGCUCCCAAAUCCAGAUAUUGUGAGCUAAAGGUACUCUUGUACUGUCAGUUUGUAGGCGUGGAGGAGUGGAAUCCUUCACAUUGAAUGUAAUAUGGGCAGUCUAUUUUGUUCAUUGAACAAAAAUAGUAUUCAUGAUUCAACCCAAGAGUGUGAGACCCAGUCUUAUGGCUAGGAUCUUCUCUAGCUUGGGGAGGGGUCUGUUUUAUAUUCAGAUAUCAAUUUAAUACUGCUACCUUGAGCAAAGUAGUGGAGCUACUUUAAGGGAAAUACUGAACUAUAACUGCAAAUUGGUUGUCAUUAUAUUUGAGAUUCCCGUAGGCAAAAACUCAUGUUAUAUACCCAAGAACUUACUGUCUCCCACUUCUUGCAGUUUAAUAACCAUUCUAGUUUACCAUUUGAGUUUUUUGAAAGAGGUUGAGAGUAACAGGAGGUUCUAGAAGAAUGAUGUAAUUAUUGUGGUGUUAACAAUUCUGAAAAUACAGUGUGCAGUUGAAAGAAGGGGACUGAGGGCCUGGUGAAACAGUGUAAAUGAGAGUUUCAUUCUCAUCCUGGAGGACAACCAGGGAGGCUUGAAGGGGUGCUCUAGUCUCUAUGAGGGUAUUCUGCACAUGUUCUUCAGUGAGAGCAAUUAACUCAUCAUGGUUGGGACAGACCUAUCUGUCAGGAGCCAUCCAUGGGCUGUGUGUGUAAGCUAUGCACAUUUGAGUGUAGGAGGGGCCUGGCUUGACAUUAGUGCCUGAGUGGGCUAUGCGACAUGUGUGUGCCUUUCUCUUGCUCUGCCUUUGAUCCCACACAGCACCUGAGGUGGGUGUGGCAAGACUCCACCCUUCGAAAUCCAAUCCCUUGACUUAUUUGGGUGGAACUUUCUCAAAUGUCUUUUCACCAAUAAAUAGAAGGUUUGGGGUAUGCUCACUUUCUUGCUCCUUCCAGAGCAAGAGCUGACCCUUGGGUCACCAAGCCGUCCUGCCUUAGAAACUUAUGUUCAUGUGCUGUGUGGUUUCUUUGCCAUUUUCUUAGUUAUUGAUACAGCCAGCACCUUGGAACCCAGCUCAUAUCGCCAGUCUGGCCAACUGGUGAUACCUAUCCAAGCCUGUAUGGUCACUAGCUGAGAAGGGUGAUGGUCUCAAGUAUUUAUUUCCUCUUAUAGAUUCUCUGGAGGAGGUGGUCUGUAGUGAGAAGCUGAACAAGGUACUAUUGACUCUCACCAGGUUAACUACAUUGUCUCAUUUAUUGUGAAGGCAAAGUUAACCAAAUUUGAAAGAUCUCUUUGGGCCACUGGACAAAACAAUCUUAUGGACUCUACACUCCCUUUCACUAAAAUCGCAAGUUUCAAUUAUUUAUUGAUUUGUAGGUGUCCGUUGGUGCCAGGGAACAACAUUGUACAAUUAUGUUCAUCUCAAGUAUAUUUUCAGGAAAACAUCUUUACUUUCAAAUUGAUGUUUGAUUGUGUAACAUAAAUAAAACAUUUCAAUUCUUAAUUGAAAGUGGCAUGGUUAAAGCACAUCCUUCUGUUUUUAAUUGGUGGUCAUGUCAUGUGAAAUUACUUAAAAGAAAAAUCAGUACUUUUGAACUUUAAAAAAAGCUUUGUCAAAUGAUGUCCAUCUUUUUUUUUUUUUUUUUUUACAAUUUAAAAGUCUGAAAGUAAAUACCAUUCUCUCAUUACUAUACUGCAUUUUAAAAAUAUAUAACCCUGAAUUCUGCAAUAUAUUUAUUACAUUUUAAAGUAUAAAUUAACAAAUAAAAUACUGAUGAACUAUCAUGCUUUAUUGUUCUUAACCUGUUUUCUAAUAAACAACCACGUAGAUUGAUUCAGAACUUCAUUUUUUUCUACUUUACUUGUAUUAAAUUCUAUAUAUAGCUCACAUCAAGUUCC
rnacentral:lncRNA from 1 species